GCAUAUCAAUAAGCGGAGGAAAAGAAACCAACAGGGAUUGCCUCAGUAACGGCGAGUGAAGCGGCAACAGCUCAAAUUUGAAAUCUGGCUCCUUCGGGGUCCGAGUUGUAAUUUGUAGAAGAUGCUUCGGGUGUGGCUCCGGUCUAAGUUCCUUGGAACAGGACGUCAUAGAGGGUGAGAAUCCCGUAUGUGACUGGGUGCCUAUGCUCAUGUGAAGCUCUUUCGACGAGUCGAGUUGUUUGGGAAUGCAGCUCUAAAUGGGUGGUAAAUUUCAUCUAAAGCUAAAUAUUGGCCAGAGACCGAUAGCGCACAAGUAGAGUGAUCGAAAGAUGAAAAGCACUUUGGAAAGAGAGUUAAAUAGUACGUGAAAUUGUUGAAAGGGAAGCGCUUGCAACCAGACUUGCGCGUCGUUGAUCAUCUGGUGUUCUCACCGGUGCGCUCAGCGACGUUCAGGCCAGCAUCAGUUCUGGUGGUUGGAUAAAGGCCCUGGGAAUGUGGCUCUCUUCGGGGAGUGUUAUAGCCCAGGGUGCAAUGCAGCCUACCGGGACUGAGGACCGCGCUUCGGCUAGGAUGCUGGCGUAAUGGUUGUAAGCGACCCGUCUUGAAACACGGACC
rnacentral:rRNA from 1 species